AUUGAACGCUGGCGGCAUGCCUAACACAUGCAAGUCGAACGAGUGGCGGACGGGUGAGUAAUGUCUGGGCAACUGCCUGAUGGAGGGGGAUAACUACUGGAAACGGUAGCUAAUACCGCAUACCAUCGGAUGUGCCCACAGGGGAUUAGCUAGUAGGUGGGGUAACGGCUCACCUAGGCGACGAUCCCUAGCUGGUCUGAGAGGAUGACCGGCCACACUGGGACUGAGACACGGCCCAGACUCCUACGGGAGGCAGCAGUGGGGAAUAUUGGACAAUGGGCGAAAGCCUGAUGCAGCCAUGCCGCGUGUAUGAAGAAGGCCUUCGGAUUGUAAAGCACUUUCAGCGGGGAGGCGGUAUCUGAAGAAGAAGCACCGGCUAACUACGUGCCAGCAGCCGCGGUAAUAC
rnacentral:rRNA from 1 species